CUAUUUAGCAUUUAUAGUGUUUCCUUUUUAUGUAUUUAUUUAUUUUUGACUAGUCACCCUUAACACAAGCUUGCUUCUAUAUUCCUAUUUUGCUUUACUCAGGUUUUAUAGGUUUUGUGAUAAAUGACAUUGGUUAAAAUAGUUCUGGCCAUUUUCACAUAAUUAAAAGUCAAAAUAUUUUAUGUUUCAAAGGAAGGAGGAUUCUUUCAAUUUAGUUUUGAAAAACUUAAGUUUAAUUACAUGUAUAAGGUCAAUAUAGUCUCCAUGGCAUUUUGGUAGUUUUCCUUUGCUGAAAACUAGGAUAGGAAAAAAAAAUGUACUAAAUCAUUGCCUUUUAAUUUUCUUAGAUUUACAAUAGCAAAUUUUUUUUUAGCUUGGAGAGAAGUAAAUUUUCUUGCGUAAUUAAGGGCAGUAGGAUUUAACACCUGAUAGGUUGUUAACUGCAGUGGCAUAUACGUCCUUUCUACUGACCACCUUUCCUACCCUAACCCUUUGCAGAUGCCAGGUUCAUUCACUCAUCAGACCUUUCCAAACGAAGGAGGACAGUCCCUGUCCUCAAGAAGUUCACAUUUAACAGGGAAGACAUAGUUAGGAGACCGUGUGUGUGUAGUAGGAAAAGGGACUAAAGGAGUGCCCAUCGUGGCUCAGCGGUUAACAAACCCACUCAUAUCCAUGAGGAUGUGGGCUUGAUCCCUGGCCUCACUCAGUGGGUUAAGGAUCCGGUGUUGCCACAAGCUGUGGCUUAGGUUGCAUACCCAGCUUGGAUCCUGUGUUGCUGUGGCUGUGGUGUAGGCUGGCAGCUGUAGCUCCGAUUCGAACCCUAGCCUGAGAACCUCCCUGUGCUGCAGGUGAGGCCCAAAAAAAAAAAGACAGAAAACAAACAAAAACUAAGGGAAAGGAAACUGCCCAAAUGAUUAAAUUAUUUAAACAGAGUAGAACUGAUUAAAGACAGUAAAACUCGGGGCAGGCAAUGCAACUUAAGAUUCUUGUAAGUUCUGCCGAGGGUGAGCUGUGGUUUAGGUCGCAGACACGGCUCCGAUCCCGAGUUGCUGUGGCUGUGGCUGUGGCCAGCAGUUGUAACUCCAAUUCACUCCCUAGCCUGGGAACCUCCAUAUGCUGCGGGUGCAGCCCUAAAAAGACAAAAAGAAAAAAAAAAGAAAAGAAAGAAAAAGGGACUAAAGAUGUUGUGCGGAGAUGAGGUUGUAUCUGAGUAGGAGUCAGUCACAUGAAUAGCAUUCUGAGCCAAGGUUAACACAACCAAGUGUUAGAAAACAAACUGAUUGGUGGGAUUAAACCUCCUGGAGUUGCUUGAUUGAUAAGUGGCAAGAGAUUAGAUCUUAAAAAGACUUUAAGGAGAUUGGAUAUUAUCCUCUAUAUUAUUUUCUAAAAUUAGGUUUCUAACAGGGCUCUUAAAUUUGGCCCUAAGAACAAAAAGCUCAGAAAACAUUUUAGUGCCUGCUUUUUUUUUUUUCCUUUUUAAGACCACACCUGUGGUAUAUGGAAGUUCCCAGGCUAGGUGCUGAAUCAGAGCUGCAGCUCACAGCAAUGCCAGAUCCCUAACCCACUGAGUAAGGCCAAGGAUUGAACCCUCAUCCUCUCGGAUUCUAGUCAGGUUCAUUACCACUGAGCCACAACGGGAACUCCUUGAGUGCCUACUUUUUUACCUUGUUCUGUACCAGAAAUGUGGGUCUGAUGUAAUUGUUACCUUCAAAAAGCUCUGAUUAGUGAAGAGUACAAAUGGUACAGCAGUGUGUGUUAAGAUGUUUGGUGUGCAAAAGAUGGUUGACCAUUUGCAAUUCAAAAAAUCUUUUUCAUUGAAUUUGAUAAUCUAAUUUUAUUUAUUUAUUUUUUGUCUUUUUGCCUUUUCUAGAGCCACUCCCUCGGCAUAUGGAGGUUCCCAGGCAAGGGGUCUAAUCGGAGCUGUAGCCACCGGCCUACGCCAGAGUCACAGCAACUCGGGAUCCGAGCCGCGUCUGCAACCUACACCACAGCUCACGGCAACCCACUGAGCAAGGCCAGGGAUCGAACCCGCAACCCCAUGGUUCCUAGUUGGGAACUCCUUGAUAAUCUAAUCCAACUUUUUAGAUCUGUCAAGCAACUUAGGUUAUCAUUUCCAGUAGAGGAAGUAAGGACCAGAGAAGUAAGUGACUUGCUUGAAGUUCUAAAACUGAAACCCAGGAUUCCUAUUAAUGGAUUCUGUAUUUUUACUACGUAAUUCCUUCCUGGAGUGCUUCUAGUGACGGAUUAAGGAAGUGACAAAUCAUUAGCAGAUCCCCAGGUCAGGGAUUGAACCUGUGGCACAGCAGUGACCCUAACUACAGCAGUGACAAUGCCAGAUCCUUAACUGCUGACCCACCAGGAAACUUCUUUUUUUUUUGUCUUUUAUCUUUUUUUUUUUGAGGACCACACCUGUGGCAUAUGGAGGUUCCCAGGCUAGGGGUCGAAUCGGAGCUAUAGCUGCCGGCCUACACCACAGCCACAGCAACUCAGGAUCCAAGCUGCAUCUGCAACCUACACCACAGCUCACAGCAAUGCCGGAUCCUUAACCCACUGAGCGAGGCCUGGGUUGAACCUGAAACCUCAUGUUUCCUAGUCAGAUUCGUUUCCCCUGCGCCACGACAGGAACUCCCCACCAGGAAACUUCUUACCACAUUUUAUUUAAAAAAAAUUUUUUUUUUUUUAGCCAUGCCCUUGGCACACAGAAGUUCUGGGGCCAGGGAUUGAACCUGAGCCACAGCUGAAACCAGAGCCACAGCAAUGAUAACACCAUAUCCUUAAUCUACUGACCAUAAGGAAACCCCUUUUUUUCCUCUCUUAAAUUAAGGAUAUAUCAAGGCUAUACCUUCCUCCACAUCUGAAGCCCCAAACGGGUUCAGAAUUCACUCCUACCCCUAUAAUUUUCACAUAUUAUGUUCAAGUUAUACCUGUACUUGAAUUCUGACUGUCCUGUUUUUGCAUUUAGAUGGUGUCUUAAUCUAUGAAACCAGGAAUAGUCCUCUGCUCAGGUUUAAGUGUAGUUGGUGGCAUGUUUCUCAUAGGUCUUUCAGUUAGUUCACUUGUUCAGUUUUCAUUUAGUUUCAGUGCAUCCGUGGCUCUUUUUUAAUUUUAUUGAAGUAUCGUUGAUUUAUGUUGUGUUUCUGCAGUACAGCAAGUUGACUCAAUAUAUGUAUAUACACACACUAUAUAUAUAUAUAUGUAUAUAUACACACACAUAUAUAUGUUCUUUUUCAUGUUGUUUUCCAUUAUGGAUUAUCACAGGAUAUUGAUUAUUGUUCUCUGUGCUACACAGCAGGACCUUGCAGUUUAUGCAUCAUAUAUAAUAAUUUGCUAACCCCAAACUCCCAGUCCUUCCCUUUCUCCAUUUCCCUCCCCUUGGCAACCUCAGGUCUGUUUUCUGUGUCUGUGAGUCUGUUUCUGUUUUGUAGAUAUGUUGAUUUGUGCCAUAUUUUCAAUUGUACUUACGCGUGAUAUCAUAUGAUAAUUUGUCUUGCUCUUUCUGACUUAUCCUUGUUGCUGCAGCUGGCAUUAUUUCAUUCUUUUUAUGGCUGAAUAAUAUUCCACUUUAGAGACAUACCACACUGGAGUUCCUGUUGUGACACAGCGGAAAUGAAUCGGACUAGAAUCCAUGAGGAUGCAGGUUGGAUCCCUGGCCUUGCUCAGUGGAUCAGGGAACUGUCAUUGCUGUGAGCUGUGGUGUAGGUCGCAGAUGCAGCUCAGAUCUGGCAUUGCUGUGCCUGUGGCAUAGGCCGGCAACCAUAGCUCCAAUUCAACCCCUAGCCUGGGAACUUGCAUAUGCUAUGAAUACAGCCCUAAAAAGGAAAAAAAAAAAAAAAA
rnacentral:lncRNA from 1 species